UUUAAAAUAGCUAAUAGAGCUAACCCGUCUCUGUUGCAAAAGAGUGGGAUAAUUUUUAAGUAGUGGUGAAAAGCCUACCGAACUUAGAGAUAGCUGGUUACUCAGGAAAAGAAUUUUAGUUCAACCCUAAGUCUUAUUACAUUACAUUAAUAAACAAACUAGGCCUAGGAGCUAUUCAAAUAAGGCACAGCUUAUUUGAUAAAGGAGACAACCUAUAAAAAAGGGUAAAAAUUGCUACAUUAAUCAAGUGGGCCUGAAAGCAGCCAUCUUCAAGAAAGCGUUAAAGCUCCGUUUUAAACUUAACCUAAUCCCCUUGUACACCUUAAACCCUUUACCCCUACUGAGUGACUCUAUAAUUGUAUAGAAGCCCUUAUGCUAAAACUAGUAACAAGAAAUUGCAUUCUCCAAAAUAUAAGCAUAAACCAAAAUGGACGAACCAUUGGUAGUUAACACUAACUAAGUCUAAUAUAGUAACAACACAAGAAAACCCUAUAAUUCAUCUAUGUUAACCUUACACAAGAAUAUUUCUGGAAAGAUUAAAAGAAAGGGAAGGAACUCGGCAAAUUUUAACCCCGCCUGUUUACCAAAAACAUCGCCUCUUGAAAAACUAUAAGAGGUCUAGCCUGCCCAGUGAUAAAAUUAAACGGCCGCGGUACCCUGACCGUGCGAAGGUAGCAUAAUCACUUGUUCUCUAAAUAAGGACUCGUAUCAACGGCAUCACGAGGGUUACACUGUCUCCCCCUUCUAAUCAGUGAAACUGACUUUCCCGUGAAGAGGCGGGAAUUAUUCUACAAGACGAGAAGACCCCAUGGAGCUUUAAACCCAAAGGCAACCUUUAUAUUCUUUACUUAAAAAUUCUUAGGCUACUGCCUAUUGGUUUUAGGUUGGGGUGACCGCGGAGUAAAACUUAACCUCCACGCCGAAUAGACCUUCAUCUUAAUCUCAGAGCUACCGCUCCAAGAAUCAAAAAUUUGACGCAGCCUGAUCCGAUUUCUCGAUCAACGAACCAAGUUACCCUGGGGAUAACAGCGCAAUCCAUUUUAAGAGCCCCUAUCGACAAAUGGGUUUACGACCUCGAUGUUGGAUCAGGGUAUCCCAGUGGUGCAGCCGCUACUAAAGGUUUGUUUGUUCAACAAUUAAAACCCU
rnacentral:rRNA from 1 species